AGGGGGAGGCCAGGUUGGGGAAACUUAUAAGAUCAGCGAGGGAACAACUCAGCCUGGGAGCCGCCGCAUCCCAGGAGGGACUGGAGCCCAGGCGGAGGAUACGCUUCUCUGAGGACUAAGAGAAGUUGGCUGCUGUCCUUUGAGUAGUUGCCGGAUCAUGGCCGUCGGCUGAGUCCUCCCAAGACCACCCAUCUUCACCGCAUGGCUCCUUGGCCCCAAAUGCACGGCGGUGACGGCGAGUACGCCGUUCCCAAAUCCAAAUCCAGCAUGGAGGUGAUGGCUGCUGUCCUUUGAGAAGAUCCUGGAUUGAAUCCACUUUGAGAGGAAAAUCAAUCGUAUAGAAGAUGAUCGGCUGUCUGGCACAGUUGGAGGUGAAAAUUCCUGUCCCUGAGCGGGUUGCUUACGUUGCCAGAUCAUGGCCGUCGGCUGAGUCCUCCCAAGAUAAAUUUUAUACACAGAGUAUAAUAAAGU